UCCUAGUUUCCUAGGCAGUCCCACCAGAGUGCUUCCUCACGGAAUAGCAACUGGUAGCAAGGGUUGCGCUCGUUAAAGGACUUAACCCAACAUCUCACGACACGAGCUGACGACAGCCAUGCAGCACCUGUGUACAUGUCCAGGCUUACGCCUGAAAAGCUAUGUUUCUAUAGCGGUCAUGCACAUGUCAAACCCAGGUAAGGUUCCUCGCGUAGUAUCGAAUUAAACCACAUGUUCCACCGCUUGUGCGGACCCCCGUCAAUUUCUUUGAGUUUUAAUCUUGCGACCGUACUCCCCAGGCGGAUCACUUAACGCGUUAGCUACGACACCAAUCUCGCAAAGCGAGACCAACGUCUAGUGAUCAUCGUUUACAGCGUGGACUAC
rnacentral:misc_RNA from 1 species